GUGUGCUCCGGCUGGGUGCAGCAGCAGCACAUCCUGCACCACCGGAGCGUGGGGUGCUACGUCACCCACGUCGGGUUCAGCUCCGUCGUGGAGGGGCUCGUCGCCGGCUGCCGCCUCGUGCUGCUGCCCAUGAAGGGCGACCAGUACCUUAACGCGGCGCUGUUCGCGCGCGAGCUCCGCGUGGGCGUCGAGGUGGCGCGCCGCGACGAGGACGGCUGGUUCGGGCGGCAGGACGUGUGCGACGCUGUCGCGGCGGCGGUGGCGGACGGAGGGGAAGGGGAGGCGAGGAAGUGGGCCGACUUCUUGACCGACGACGGCGUGCAGGGAAGGUUCGCCGACGAGUUCGUCCGGCAGCUCAGGGAGCUCGUCAGUGCGGCCUCGAGUUGAUUGAGCGCUCGACGCCUCGACCUUGUGUUAAAUGUACGCUUUAUUCUCUUGUGUAACGCGCUGUCAAGUGUCAACUGUGAUCACCGCUGGUGUGCACUUGUAUGUUCCCUUUCUUUUCCUUUCUUUUUGUGAAGUUUUAAAGUCUAUACUCCUUCACAUAUCAUAUUUCAAUAAAUCAAUUAAUUAUUUUAUGACUCGCUGAAUUCAUAAAAAAAUACUAUUCAAUAUUUAUACAUCUAAAUAAUUUUACUAUAAAAAGACAUGGCAUGUUGACUUAAUUAUUCCGCCACGAGUUACAUAAGGCCUUGUUUAGUUCACCCCGAAAUCCAAAAAAUUUUCAAGAUUCCCUGUCACAUCGAAUCUUACGGCGCAUGCAUAAAGUAUUAAAUAUAGACGAAAACAAAAACUAAUCACACAAUUUGACUGUAAAUCACAAGACGAAUCAUUUGAUCCUAAUUAGUAUAUGAUUGGAUAAGAUUUACCACAAACAAACGAAAGUGCUACAGUGCCGAAAUCCGAAAUUUUUUUAAACUAAACAAGGCCUAAGUUAUUUUGAACAAGACGGUGUCUAAAGACAUGAAUAGAUAUAUGUAUCGUUGGGGUUAAACACUCUAAAAUGUACUGUGAGGGCAGUCUUAACGCACUCUCUCUGUCCCUGAAAACUUUAAUUUUUAGAGUUGUCUUAAGUUAAAUUUUUUAAACUUUGGUCAAAUUUUAAAAAAUGCUAAAAUUUAUAGUACCAAAUUAGUACCAUUAGAUUUAUUAUAGAUAUUUUUAUAAAAUACUCAUUUUAUGUCAUGGAUAUUGAUAUUCUUUUCUAUAAAAUUGGUCAAACUUAAAAAAAAAAUUUGACUGACACGAAUUUUAGAAAUUGAAGUUUUUAGGGACAGAGGGAGUAGAUUUCACGGGGGUUUAUGCACAUUAAUAGGAUGCCAUAUGAGCAGAAAUUUGAGUUUUUGUAUGUAUUAAAUAGGAGAGAGAAGGAAAACAUUUGCUAGAGACGAGAUGAGCGAGCGUUAUUUCUAAAACCGAAUGAACCUGGCUGCGAGCCUUUCUUCGUUUCAUCCUGUGCGCGAAGAGCUAAUCAUGGACAUAGCCACCGCUACCACAGGGGAUGGCGGUGUGGGAGGCCUCUACCGAAGGGGAAGGCGGGCUCUGCCAACCGCACGCACAGAGAUCCGCCACGCACGGCUCCGAGGGGAUGGCGGGCAUGAGAUCCCCUGCUCCUCCUUGCCCUCACAGUCUCUCUGCUGCUCGUGGCGGCCGUCUAGCGAGGCAUGGUCAAGGGGCAUGACAACGGUGGUCAUCUCUGCAAUUGGGUAUGGGUACAUGAUACUAGUGUGGGCAUCCCACGGCGACAACUAGUGCGCGGCUGCGCAGGCUCCUCACCGUCUCGCCGCACGCGCCGCUGACCACCGCUCUCGUCCGUAGCCUGCGCGAUGUCGAUCUAGUGUUCGCCGCCGAAGUCAUCGCUAGAGAUAUGCCGACAUGGCUGACAGUACAAUGGCAUGGCUCAUUUUUUUAACUGAGAAGCUCCGUGUCGUGUCUCCUAGGUGACUCGGGGCGACACGCCACGCCGCCACUCGCCCAGCCGCCGCAGGCCAACUUUGGCAGUCGUCGUCGCGGCUCCGACUAGCGAUGGCAGUGGCCCACCGCGGUGCCCCAAUUUUGCCUGGAUCUACGGACUCGCAGAAAAUGGAUAAAAACCCUACCUGGUUCAUUUGGGCUGACGGCGGUGGACAGGCUUGUGUCACCAACCUUCUUGAAGGCAUCGUUGAAGUUUCGGUCCAUCGAGGGAAGGCUGAGGAUGAAAGUCCUGCUCGUAGGUUCUCCAACAUUGAUUGGCGUCUGGGGCGUCAAUUUCCUUCAUGAAGGCAUCGCUAGAGCACCAUGGCAAAAGAAGAAAAUCUGCCCAUCGCUCUUUCCCAUGUGGUAACCCCUGGUCGUAGUGCUGUGCCUAAUUGUACUUCAUGCUUCUCCUCACUUGGUAUGUCCAAUUGUUGCUUGUUGUAGCUGUAGUCGUCGCUUAGGCCCCUUCUCAUGCAGAUGCUUUGCUACUGGGAGUGUGUUGGCCCCGCUCGCGGAUGUUUUUGCCGUGUGGAUGGUAUUAUUGCUUGUGCGGAUGCUUUGCCGCCGGUGUUGUAGAGGAUGUUGUCGUGGAGGUUGUGCUGCCAUCGACGUGUGCCUCCCAUGGAGGUCCCCCUCGCUCGUGGUCUUGAGGGCCACCUACCCUUAGUGACUCGGAGGAGUGCAUGGCGCUUGCCGCAUUGUUGGUCAUAGCCGUUUCGGUGGAUGCUUUGCCGCCGAGGUGUUCUGGUGGAUGUUUUGUCGCCAAGGUUGAUGUGGUUGCUUCGACGAAUGCUUUGCUGUCUAGAGUUCUUGCGGAUGCAUUGCCGUUGUUUUAUUUACGGAUCCCACCACCGACUGCUACCAAUGUGUUGAGUUUUUCUAUAUUAGGCUCGGUUGUUGGGGUUAAUCAUGUAGCUUGACCCCUCUCUCGUGCUUCUGAGCCCAUUUUUCUUCUGUCACGUGUGUUAGUUUUUAGUGAUGUAUGUGGGGUGGUUUGCUUAGGCUUACCAAGGUUCACCCACUGUAAUGUCUUUGCUCUUCUCUUUAAUGAAAAACGUGUUUUGCACAAUCUCGAAAAAUGACCUAACUCUUAUCGGCUGUGUCUAAGCCGUUGCUGCAGCUCCUAGGUGGGCAUGACAUGGUCCGAUGCGUGAGUCGAGUCGUGCCAGAAUGAACUAAAGCAUGGAUACAUGCUGAGCAUGUGUUAUGUGGGCCAUUCACAUAGCGUAUCGAGAUAUGUGUCAUUCAGAACAGUAGGAUUUGACAUUGGGUAGUAUGUAUAGCACGAAUCUCAAAACAAUUUUGAAUAGUGCAGAUAGGGCAUACUGAGCAUGUACAUACUAUAUUGUGAUACGUUAUUGACCAUGAACCCCUCAGGUCAUGUCUUAGGCCUUGUUUAGAUCCAAUUUUUUUUGGUUUUUGACAGUGUAGCAUUUUCGUUUUUAUUUGACAAAUAUUGUCUAAUCAUAGAGUAACUAGGCUUAAAAGAUUUAGCUCAUGAUUUACAGGCAAACUAUGUAAUUAGUUUUUGUUUUCAUCUAUAUUUAAUGCUUCAUACAUGUGCCGCAAGAUUCGAUGUGACGGAGAACCUUAAAAAAAUUUUGGUUUUUGGGUGAACUAACCAAAUGCCUUAGACUGCGUUCGGUUGCCAUAAUUUUGCCCCUGGAACUAUUCCAGCUUAUCUAAACUAUGUAAAUUAGUGAAGCAAAUCCAUCUGGAAUCAUUCCAGUGACCCAAACCGGAUCAACCGAACGAGCCCUUAGUCGGGCCUGGGCCGUGCUGGGGAUGAUGACCUAUUUGGCUCCCGUGGCAUCGCUAUCCACGUGUUUCCACGCGUCACCCACUCCCGUUCAAAUAAAUAUUUUGCCGUGCUUACGCUGCAUUAUAUAGCCUGUUAAAGGAUCCACCCCACUCCAUCAGUUUCGCCACAAACAGGAACCGGACAGGAUCGGAGUUGCACAGCCAUGCCGACCGGCGGAGGAGGCAACCGCGACGACGUCGCGCCCAUGCACGUCGUGAUGCUCCCGUGGCUCGCCUUCGGACACAUCGUCCCGUUCGCGCAGCUGGCGCGGAGGCUGCUGGCCUCCUCCUCCUCUGUCCGCGUCACAUUCCUCACAGCCGCCGGGAACGUCCCGCGCGUCGAGGCCAUGCUGUCCUCCUCGGCGUCGUCCGCCGGCGGGGUGGCCGUCUUGCCGCUGCGCCUGCCUCGCGUGCCGGGGCUUCCCGAGGACGCCGCCAGCACGGCCGACCUCUCGCCCGACGGCGCCGAGCUGCUCAAGGUCGCGCUGGACGCCGCCCGGCCCCAGGUCGCCGCGCUGCUGGCCGAGCUCCGCCCGGACGCCGUGCUGCUCGACUUCGCCACCCCGUGGGCCUCCCACGACGCCGCGGCGCUGGGCGUCAAGUCGUUCUAUUUCAGCGCCUUCUCCGCCGUCGCGCUCGCAUACCUCGCCGUCCCCGCGCGCCGCCUCGACGGGCCCGGGGCGUCGGCGCGCGACCUCAUGUCCGCCCCCGCUGGCUUUCCCGGAUCCUCCCAUCUCGCCACCGCCGGCGUCCCGGCGUACCAAGCCGCCGACUUCACCUACGUCUUCACCAGCUUCGGCGGCCAGCCCUGCGCCUACGACCGGUCGGUGGCCAGCACUCGGGCUUGCGACGGCGUCGUGCUCAAGACCUGCGCGGAGAUGGAGGGCGUCUACAUAGACUACUACGCCGCCCAGUUCCGGAAGCCCGUGCUGGUGGCGGGGCCGCUGGUGCCGGAGCCGCCGCGGGGGGACCUGGACGAGCGCUGGGCCACCUGGCUGUCGGCGUUCCCGGACGACGGCGCCGUCGUCUUCGCGUCGUUCGGCAGCGAGACGUUCCUGCCGCCCGCCGCGGCGACGGAGCUCCUCCUGGGGCUCGAGGCCACCGGCCGCCCGUUCCUCGCCGUGCUCAACUCCCCGGACGGCGCGGCGGCAGUCGUCCCGCCGCCGGGGUUCACGGAGAGGGUGUCAGGGAGAGGACUGGUGCACACCGGGUGGGUGCAGCAGCAGCACAUCCUGCGCCACCGGAGCGUGGGGUGCUACGUCACCCACGCCGGGUUCAGCUCCGUCGUGGAGGGGCUCGUCGCCGGCUGCCGCCUCGUGCUGCUGCCCAUGAAGGGCGACCAGUACCUUAACGCGGCGCUGUUCGCGCGCGAGCUCCGCGUGGGCGUCGAGGUGGCGCGCCGCGACGAGGACGGCUGGUUCGGGCGCCAGGACGUGUGCGACGCUGUCGCGGCGGCGGUGGCGGACGGAGGGGAAGGGGACGCUAGGAAGUGGGC
rnacentral:lncRNA from 1 species